AACUAUGGCUCAUGACCUGAGCCAAAGCUGGACGCUUAACUGACUGAGCUACCCAGGGGCCCUGGAAUGUGUUUUGUUUUGCCAAAGCAACAGUUCCAGUCAAGGAAACAUCCAACUAGGUGUUUAACUUGGCAGCCUCUUGCUAGAUGUGUCUCACCUGAUAGCCCCGUACAUGAGCCAGUUUGAGCCAGUUUGAGCCAGACUGGAUCUGGGGACCUGCACAGAAGCCCCCCUGAAUUGACCUGAAGUUACCUUUAGCUCCUAUGGGAGAAAUUUUCUGCCAUUUUAUGAACAUAGGAUGUAGGCACUAGCAUCUUGAUGACCGCACAUGCGCAAUUGAACCAAAAGUGUCUAUGCAAGCUCCCUGCCCCCACCCCCUAGUACACUCAAUAAAAGCUUCCUAUGCUGACCCCACAGGGAUACAGUGCUUUGACAGCUAUCUCUCUGUCUCCUUACUUGUAACAAGUAAUCAAAAGUCCUUUUCUUUCAAUAUUUCCUUGGGUCAUGUUCAAUUUGAUGCACCCCAAGGGGCGAACCCCUUGAGUUCUGUUACCGUAAGUGCUCAAUUAAUGGAAGCCCUAUGAAGAGAUUUUUAUGAUUCCUAAGGUAAUUGAUCACCAAACGCUAGGUUUCUAUUUAUUAUUUUGUAAGUUAGGAUGGUUCCAUCUGGAACCAACAAGAAAAGCAAAGGACUGUCAAAGGGAACAUUGUGAUGUGUUGGGUGUACCAGGAUCAUGCUAAACGCAAUGCAGCUUCCCCUUGUCUCUCUAAUAUUAAAUCACAUUCAGAGAGUGAGUAGAGUUCAGCUCACAGGUAAGUUUCUGAAAUAAUUGCUUUUUAUAUUCUCAGUUGAAUGAGAAAUCAUUUUGUAUAAUCAAAUAAGACUUUGAUAGUAGUCAGCAUCAACCUUAGCCUCGGUUAUGCUCUUAAAACCCUGUCACAUACUUUCAGUGGGACAGAGCCAUAGGGGAUCUGUUUGCACAGUCCUUUUAAAUUCUAAUAAGUUUCUCUGAAGCGUAUUUCAAAAUACCGGUAGUCCCUCCCCACUGCUUCAGCUCUGGCUCACAGGCAACUCUCCUCUUUCAUCUUCAAACAACUUCAAAGUUUAUUUUUGAAAUAAGGGUUUCUUUUCCCAUGGAAUUCAAAGAGCUUUUCCGCCUUCUGUGAGGGAAGGAGAGCCUGGCUUUCAGGAAUGCAUUUAAAAAGCGGCAGAUGUCUUUCUUAGCACCUCCCUGAUAGGCCUUGCUGACCUUCAAAAGCAUUCAAUUUUCUUUACCUUUGUUUUUUGGGCUGGCUUUGCUGGAGGCUGAAGGAGGCUGAUAGCAAUCAGAACGUUUUUCAUUUGGCAGCUGAGAUUUUUCUUCCUUCUUUGAAUUCAAAUCCUCCGGAGACAGGAGUUGCCAGGACUCAGUCUGAUGCUCAGACCACACCCGCCACUGUAAUGAAAGGGGUUCCUGGGGCUGGGCAGCGGCUGCAGCCUGUAAUCCUGGGGCUCAAUCUUGGCAUCCGCCUCAGGCUUACAACCUGUAUUUCAAGGACCUAUCACCUGAGAGCCUUGCCAUCAUUUUUGGCUGACCUGUGAAGCUGAUAGAUAUUCUGAAUGCACUAGAAGAAGAAAGAUGCCUCAAAAUCAAGAGGCCCAUCCAUCUACGUCUCUACCUUCCUCCUAACCCCCAGACAACACCACAGGAGACCACCCUGAGGAAGACACAGGAGGAGAGAAAGCAGGCAAUAUGAGCAGCUUACCCAAGAGCAUACUGUAGGUAUGGUAGUUCCAAUGGAUUGCCAUCCAGGUGGCGGCAUCUCUGACCCAGGAGUAGAACCUGCAAGAAAGACACCAAGGAGUGAUGAGUUCCUCUACAGAAAUGGACCAAAAGAGACAUCACCCCAGAUUUUCCAAGGUGACCCAUGCCAGAUUUUCAAAUGUAAAAAAUUAAAUUAGUAUCCAUGUUCCAAGGGACUCUUGAAAUUAUUUCUGGAUAAGGAAACAAUUAACCUCAUUGUGAAUGAAAUCAAUUAUGGUACUCAAAUAAAAUGUGAGGCUCACUUCAAGAAACUGAAGUGUGUUUUGAGUGUUUUGUUUUGAGUAGAUAUGUUCUAUACCUAAAGAGGAGUUUGUUUUCAGACAGUUCUCUGGAUGUGCAUCACAGCCUAGUCACAAAUGCCAUUAGGAGAGACAGGUUUGAAAUGAUCUUUGCCCAUCUCCAUUUUGCUGAUAACCAUCUUGAGGAAAUCAAUUUAUAAGAAAUAAGCCUUUUAUUACAAGAAUGAAUAAAAAUCACAUGCACCCUUGGAAGAAUCCCACACCUUUGACAGGUCCAUGAGUGUUUUAGGCAUCAAUGAUUCAAGCAAUUCCUGCAGAGAAAGUCAAUUAAAUUUGGUUAUAAAUUUGGUAUGGGGUAACUACACUUGGCUACUUGGUUUAAUUUGAACCCUACUGGGCUGUCACUAGUUUCUUUAAGUAAGGAUCUUGGUUAAUGGGGGAGUCUGAUGAUGAUAUUAGCUAAUACUCUUCUUUGCUAACACAAAGCCAAUACUCCUAUCAUUUAUGUUUUGUUGAUGCCUCCACCAUCAGAAAGCUGAUGCCAGUUUGGAAGAAGAAAAGAGUCAAAGCAAGAGGAAUGAUUCAUGAAAAUAAAGCUGAAUAGUACCCUCUCAAAAAUAGCACAGAAAUCAAAAACAAGAAGAGAGAGAGAUGUUUAAAUCCCAAGUGGAUGAAUAAGAAUAGAUAGUAGUAUGCCACUGUCAUGACAAUGACAUCAUUAACAUCUGCUCCAAGGUAUGGGCAUUGAUCAUUUGAAAAAGACCAAGUGUAUUCAUCAGCCAAAAAGAAGAUUCAGUUCAGUCAACUAGUAAUACAUGUAUUCAAAGGGAGAACUGGAGGUAUGAGAUGUAUGGAUCAAAAUAUCUCCAAGUACAGAGUUAAGGUUUCAGGCCAGACAUGGUACUCCAGCUUGAUCAAUUACAUCAUCAAUGUGACUCUUCACUAAUAAUGGCAACUGCACAGAAUCUGUGUCAAUGAGACCAAGAUGGAUCUGGCUUUCCAAGGGAUGUUGCAUGUUUCUAUUUGUAAUACAAUAUGGAGCCACGAAGACAAAGGCAGAGGGAGGUAUGCCCAAAUAGGAGUUGAGAUCAGAUAUAAUAUGACACCUCACUGGAUAAGUCAUCAAGACAAGAAAACAUGGUGUGCCCUCGGCCAUGUGCACUGUUACACUAAAUGUGAAAAAUGUCAAAUAGGUGUAUCAAAGCGUUUCAAAACAUAUCACAAAAAUAGUGUCUGAGAUGCUGUCAGUAACUUACAUUCUGGAAUUCCUGAGUAUACCAUUAAUUUUAUCAUUUAUUUAGUUAUUGUGUGUUUCCCAACAAAAUGCCAUCUUUUGCUUCAGCUCUAAUGGACUUUGUUUCUAUAAAGGCAAACUUCUUUCUCUUUCUUUACCUCCACGUAAACAACUCCAAAUCCCUGUGAUCUGUUUAUUUUAAAUCUCAGGAAAUCCUAAUGCCUUCUGUUGAUGAAAAACUCCCCAUGAAUAUUUUCACAUUUCUGAAAAGCCUGGAUUUUCUGAAUAAAGAAUACUUGUAACCUGAGUUAAAGGAUUUGAAUGAUAAGCAUGCCUUGAAGGUUAGAAUUUAAAACACCUAUCUACUCCAGAGCCAUUUGCUUACAUUCCAACUGUUAUACAGCUAGGGACCAUACCUUCUCCCUGCAAAGGAUUCCAGAGUAAAGGGAUGUCUCUUUCUCCCACUAUCCUUUCCUCUUUUUCUCUCUCUCUUUCUCUCCACCCCUUCCCCUCCCUCUCUUUCUGGCUCUCCAUCAACCGAGGGGAGGAGGAAUAGAUUUGUAUCCUAUGUGAGCUCUGUAUCUCCUAACUGCUCCUAAUUGCUACACACAGGUAGCAUCAAGCCCUCAGUGUGUUGUCCCAUGGGGAAUGGGAGCUUGGAAAGCAGUACUGAUAAGGUGAUCUGACUCAGAGGUCUGGUGCUUCUCCUUCUGUACACGUGUGACUAGCACACUAACUUGUUAGUUUGCAGGAGGUUGUCAGCCAUGGCACGUCAGACACUUCACAGUUUUGAACUUCACAUUUCCUUUAGUGAUUUUCUGUGUGU